rnacentral:rRNA from 1 species
GACGAACGCUGGCGGCGUGCUUAACACAUGCAAGUCGAACGGAAAGGCCCUGCUUUUGUGGUGUGCUCGAGUGGCGAACGGGUGAGUAACACGUGAGUAACCUGCCCUUGACUUUGGGAUAACUUCAGGAAACUGGGGCUAAUACCGGAUAGGAGCUCCUGCUGCAUGGUGGGGGGUGGAAAGUUUCGGCGGGCGGGGAUGGACGCGCGGCUUAUGAGCUUGUUGGUGGGGGAGUGGCAUACCAAGGCUUUGGCGGGUAGGCGGCCUGGGAGGGUGACCGGGCACAUUGGGACUGAGGUACGGCCCAGACUCCUACGGGAGGCAGCAGUGGGGAAUAUUGCACAAUGGUAGGAAGCCUGAUGCAGCAACGCCGCGUGUGGGAUGACGGCCUUCUGGUUGUAAACCGCUUUCGCCUGUGACGAAGCGUGAGUGACGGUAAUGGUUAAAUAAGCACCGGCUAACUACGUG